UACGAAGGGGGCUAGCGUUGUUCGGAAUCACUGGGCGUAAAGGGCGCGUAGGCGGCUUUAUAAGUCGGGGGGUGAAAGCCUGUGGCUCAACCACAGAAUUGCCUUCGAUACUGUAGAGCUUGAGACCGGAAGAGGUAAGUGGAACUGCGAGUGUAGAGGUGAAAUUCGUAGAUAUUCGCAAGAACACCAGUGGCGAAGGCGGCUUACUGGUCCGGUUCUGACGCUGAGGCGCGAAAGCGUGGGGGAGCAAACAGG
rnacentral:rRNA from 1 species